GGGUGAUUAGCUCAGUUGGUAGAGCAGCUGACUCUUAAUCAGCUUGUCACAGGGUCGAUCCCUGUAUCACCCACCA
rnacentral:tRNA from 1 species